rnacentral:rRNA from 1 species
GACUACAGGGGUAUCUAAUCCCGUUUGCUCCCCUGGCUUUCGUGUCUCAGCGUCAGCUCAUCCCCAGCGACCUGUUUUCACCUUUGGCGUUCCAGACGAUAUCUACGCAUUUCACCGCUCCACCGUCUGUUCCAGUCGCCCCUAGAUGGCUCAAGAUCGCCAGUAUGCCAAGCAGUUCCCCGGUUGAGCCGAGGGAUUUCACAAAGCACUUAACGAUCCGCCUACACACGCUUUAAGCCCAGUGAUUCCGCCUAACGCUUGUGGCCUCUGUCUUACCGCGGCUGCUGGCACAGAGUUAGCCGCCACUUCCUCUGGGGCUCCUCAGAACUUGGUAACCCCUGACAGGAGUUUACAUCCCGAAGGACUUCAUCCUCCACGCGGCGUCGCUCGGUCACGCUUGCGCGCAUUGCCGAAGAUUCCUUACUGCAGCCUCCCGUAGG